UUCACUUCCGGAACGACGAAAAACUUUUGAAUUUCAAAACAAUAUUUGAUGCUCUGAAGUAAAAUGUUCAUCAAUUAACAACGAUAUAUCGUAAAAAUGCCAAAUAAAGUUCUGUUAACAAGCUUAUUAGGGUCAAUCUUGCCCUCGAUUAGAUCCUGUGCCUGCUUCCGAAGCUGGAAUGUUGAUGUUUUUCGGAGAGGCAUUCCGAGUGGAUUCAUGUCUCGUUGUCUUGUGCCACCAGAGAGCUGGCGUAGUUUCUGGUUGUAUUUUUGAUCCGACAUAUCCAAUGGAUUGUCAACAAUGUUAUCGUGCAUCGACAAGAAGAGAGGUACGUACACGAGGUAGUCAAGAAAGGAUAUCUAAAAAGGAGGAGGAGGAAAAGAUUAAAAUUGUCGUGAACAGUACAUAACACAUUCGCUGAUGUGGAAAAUUUCACAUAAAUACACGUUUUUGAUUUUUCAAGAUAUUUUGGUAAUAUAGAUGAUACCUAUUAUGGAACAGACAUCACCAACAAAUAAAAUUGCAGUGUCUUGCCCUA